UCCUACGGGAGGCAGCAGUGGGGAAUAUUGCGCAAUGGGGGAAACCCUGACGCAGCGACGCCGCGUGAAGGAAGAAGGCCUUCGGGUUGUAAACUUCUUUGAUCGGGGACGAAAAUGACGGUACCCGAGGAACAAGCCACGGCUAACUACGUGCCAGCAGCCGCGGUAAUACGUAGGUGGCAAGCGUUGUCCGGAAUUACUGGGCGUAAAGGGCGUGUAGGCGGGGGGACAAGUCAGAUGUGAAAUACCGCGGCUUAACUGCGGGGGUGCAUCUGAAACUGUUCUUCUUGAGUGUCGGAGAGGAAAGUGGAAUUCCCAGUGUAGCGGUGAAAUGCGUAGAGAUUGGGAGGAACACCAGUGGCGAAGGCGGCUUUCUGGACGAUAACUGACGCUGAGGCGCGAAAGCGUGGGGAGCAAACAGGAUUAGAUACCCUGGUAGUCCACGCUGUAAACGAUGGAUACUAGGUGUAGGAGGUAUCGACCCCUUCUGUGCCGGAGUUAACACAAUAAGUAUCCCGCCUGGGGAGUACGGCCGCAAGGCUGAAACUCAAAGGAAUUGACGGGGGCCCGCACAAGCAGUGGAGUAUGUGGUUUAAUUCGAAGCAACGCGAAGAACCUUACCAGGGCUUGACAUCCCUUGACAGUCCUAGAGAUAGGAUAUCCCUUCGGGGCAAGGAGACAGGUGGUGCAUGGUUGUCGUCAGCUCGUGUCGUGAGAUGUUGGGUUAAGUCCCGCAACGAGCGCAACCCCUGUUGUUAGUUGCCAGCAUUAAGUUGGGCACUCUAGCGAGACUGCCGGUGACAAAUCGGAGGAAGGUGGGGACGACGUCAAAUCAUCAUGCCCCUUAUGUCCUGGGCUACACACGUACUACAAUGGCUGUUACAGAGGGCAGCUAAGCCGCGAGGUGGAGCAAAUCCCUAAAAGCAGCCCCAGUUCGGAUUGCAGGCUGAAACUCGCCUGCAUGAAGUCGGAAUUGCUAGUAAUGGCAGGUCAGCAUACUGCCGUGAAUACGUUCCCGGGCCUUGUACACACCGCCCGUCACACCAUGAGAGUCGGCAACACCCGAAGUCAGUAGUUUAACCGCAAGGAGAACGCUGCCGAAGGUGGGGCUGAUGAUUGGGGUGAAGUCGUAACAAGGUAACCA
rnacentral:rRNA from 1 species